CAUUCGUGAUACUCCAUAACGGUCUUUGUGUUUUCUUCUCACCAUCAAAGCUUGAUGGCUUUGCUUGCUUUGAAACUAUUAAAUUCGCGGACGGAAAAUAAACAUAUUAAAUAACUGGCCAAAUCAAGCCUAAAAUAUCCAAUUUGAACAUCAUUACAGUUGGAGUUCAUACAGUUUGAACAACUCGGUGAGACUUGGAAAUGCUUAUAGACGAUAUGCUAGCCAGAGGCAGUAAAAGGUACGUUUUCACAUUUAGCCUCAACAUCAAGGAGUCUUAGGUUUGAGAGGAAACGUCGCCACGUAUGACCUCACGAAGCUCCGAAUCAAAGGUUAAAUUAGGUGAAGAAAUCUUUUUUUUUUAUUUUUUAUUUUGCAAAUAAGAGAGAUUUUAAAGACACAAGCAUUUUCAUUACCAUACACUCUGCUAUACUUGUUAAAUAUAGAAUGGAUAAAUAAUUAAAUAAUGAAAAAGGGCUAUAUGCAUUUACUUUUUAGUGUUAUAAAAUGGAAUGCUUUUAAAAAUAGUGCUUUUUUAAUGUCUACUUAAAUAUUUUUUGUGUUUUUCUGAUAAGCAAUUGAUUUUGAAUCAUUUGAUAGUAUUAAGUCGAAAUAAAUUGAACACCAAAAGGUGUGAUAUCUCACAAUAAAUAUGAUAUUAGUCUUUUUCCAGUGCACUCAGCUCUCCUGCUACCUCAUUAACACAUUAGUCACUAUUGAAAAGGGGAAGAUGUUCACAUCUGGCCUUUGUUUCUUCAGUUUUGUAGGCUCAUUACAUAACUUGAAGCCUUUCAGGCCUUUGUUUGAAAUCUCUAAUCUAUUACAAUUUGUACGCCUGACAAUCCUGGUUUCCAUUUAAAUAGCUUCACUUCUCUCGAAAUUUCUUUCCUGAUUCACCUCCAUGAUAAUGAAGCAAUUUAGUCAGCAUGGAUUCUGUUUUCACUCCAUCGGGGGUUAUCAUAGCAUGCCAAGUGUCAUAAAAGUAAAGAGAUAAAUAAUGCAGCCAAGCUCUCAGAACCACCUGGCAUGUACAUUUAUAUGCUUCAGUAUUAACAUUUUUUUGUGCUUUAUUGCUCAGAAAAUGCUUAGCACUGUGUCAUUAGGCCACGGGGACAUCCAUUCUUUACAGAGAAGACAAUCCCACAAUGCAUUGUGACAUGCCACCUAUGUUCCACAUUGUUUAGGAUGCUGCCUUAGAAGGCAUCAAGUCAGCUCAUUAGGCUUAAAUGUUGGACAGAUGGAGUGCUAACUACCCUUAAGAGAGCACAUUAUGAAACUUUACCUUGCCAGGUGUUUUUCAUUUUGGUUAAAGUCAAGUAACGUGAAUCCCUUUUCAUUGAAAGACCUAGUACAAAGAGUGGAUUGAGAGGGAGGUAUUUGAUGAUGCCAGGUUUAAGACUCCCGUUGUGUCUCAUAUGCAUAUUCAGCACUUCCCCAUAAACACAGAGGCUGUAAAUACAGAGGAACAGCCAACUGUGUACAAGUUGUAACCACUAAAAUAUCCCUGGCAGACCACAAACCAGGAGGUUCGGCGAGCUGUAUGUGCUGAAAAUGACUUUACAUGGGAAUUACAAUUUAAAACGAUCUGCCCGAGGGUGUGAGAUUUCAGAGGCUUCAAACUUCUCAUGCCUUUCCGAAAAUCCAUUUAAUAAUGCGCACUGCAUGUAACAGGAUAGUAGUUUAUUGAUUCCAUGAACUGCAAAAGAAAGAAAGAAAAAAUCUUUCUCAGCAUCUUUGUCUUGUUUUCCAGUACUAAUAUCUAUACUUUCUGAAAUCAAGUACAUAUUUGAGAAGCAAAAUGAC